rnacentral:lncRNA from 1 species
AGAUUAUAUAAUUUGAAUUGUUUCUAAAGUGUUUGGAUUAUAUAAUCUGAACCGUCUCGUAUCGUGGAUGAUGGCGUUACACCAAAAAUUAGGAAGAUUUGUGGUGUGUUAAUUGAGUUUUAAAGGAUAAAGACAUUCCUUUUUGACCCAAUUUACAAUCUUGGGAUAUUAUAUGGCUAUAAUAGUCUUUCAUUCUUUAACAUUUUCAUUCAUUUUGCACUUCUCAUCCAUUCUCAAAAUUUUCUUUCUCUUGUUUAGAUUGCAGUGGUUUAUGAUAUCAUGUUCGUUGCUGCUUGCUCAUACAAUCCCUGAAAUUGCUUUGAUAUGAAUUACAUAUUCAUUUUAGUGGUUAGGGAUCGUAUCAUAGUCAGCAGAGACCUUUGAUAUCAAUUACAUCAUCACUUUUUUUUUUUUAGUGGUUUGGGAUCGUAUUAUGGUCAGCAGAGACAUUUGAUACCAAUUACAUAUUCAUUUUCAGGAUUUCAGCAUGGUUCAAAUUAUAGAAUCCGAGCAAAAGGUAUUUUGGAAUCCAAACAAAGGAUAUUUUGGAAGAAAAAAUUAGGACGCGUGAGAAAUCCAUAGGGUGGAAAUAUUAAUAGCGCAACUGUUAUUUUGAUAGAAACUCUUGAGGGGGUAAAUAUUCAAGUCACUCGCGUUAGCAGUUGUUUUUCUUAGCCUACGUAGCUCAAAAGGUAGACAGAACUGAAGCAGUUUGCUCUAGCGAUAAGAGUUAUACUAUAUCGGGUCACCUAGUAACCUCUCAACUCAACUGGCAUUCGGUUUGGGUCUUUUAUCCAUACGAUCACAUAUAUGUCAAUUAAUGUAAAAAAUAUUAUGAUGAUAUUAAUUCACAAAUAAAUGUGUUGUCGCAUCUUUAAUUCAUUAUUCAUAUAACUAUUUUUUUUUCUUUCAAUCAUAUAUUAUUAUUGUGUCUCUUUUUGGAUCAUUCCCUCUCUAUUACGAAAGGUUAAAGAUAAAUAAAAUGAUAAAUUUUGAUGAUCUUCAUGAUUAUCAUAAGAGAUCUUUAUAAAGGUUAAAUAAUAUUUUGAGUGGAAAGGAAAAUUUAUUGAUAUCAUCAGCUUAUAUGUCUAAAUUACACAUGUCUUGUAUGGGAUUUUAAAUCAGUCUUAUAAAAUUACAAAUUCAAGUUCUAAUCUCUGAGCUCACACUACUUAGACA